UACGUAGGGGGCGAGCGUUGUCCGGAGUUAUUGGGCGUAAAGCGCGCGCAGGCGGUGCGGUAAGUCUCUGGUGAAAGCGCUCGGCUUAACUGGGCGAGGGCCGGGGAGACUGCCACGCUGGAGGGGAGCAGAGGCGAGUGGAAUUCCGGGUGUAGUGGUGAAAUGCGUAGAGAUCCGGAGGAACACCAGUGGCGAAGGCGGCUCGCUGGGCCGCAACUGACGCUGAGGAACGAAAGCUGGGGGAGCGAACAGG
rnacentral:rRNA from 1 species